rnacentral:rRNA from 1 species
AUUGAACGCUGGCGGCAGGCUUAACACAUGCAAGUCGAGCGAGCGGCGGACGGGUGAGGAAUGUCUGGGAAACUGCGUGAUGGAGGGGGUUAACUACUGGAAACGAUAGCCAAUACCGCAUACCAUCAGAUGUGCCCCGAUGGGAGUAGCUAGUAGGUGGGGUAAUGGCUCACCUGGGCGACGAUCCCUACCUGGUCUGAGAGGAUGACCAGCCACACUGGAACUGAGACACGGUCCAGACUCCUACGGGAGGCAGCAGUGGGGAAUAUUGCACAAUGGGCGCAAGCCUGAUGCAGCCAUGCCGCGUGUGUGAAGAAGGCCUUCGGGUUGUAAAGCACUUUCAGCGAGGAGGCGUUACUCGCAGAAGAAGCACCGGCUAACUCCGUGCCAGCAGCCGCGGUAAUUC